GCGGGAGUGGCGAAAAUAGGUAGACGCGUCAGAAUUAGGAUCUGAUACUGAUAAAGUGUACGAGUUCAAAUCUCGUCUCCCGUA
rnacentral:tRNA from 1 species